UAUUAAAAAUUUCAUCUAUUUAUACUGUUAAAUCUGGUGUGUCAAUGGAAUAAUCAGACAGUAUCACGUGUAUCUCAUGCUAACAUAUAAUGAUCAGUUUUUAAUAGUAGAAACGGAUUGAAUUUUUAACU
rfam:Gossypium raimondii Chr04_contig_25, whole genome shotgun sequence.